rnacentral:tRNA from 1 species
GGGUCGGUGCCCGAGCGGUUAAAGGGGACGGAUUGUAAAUCCGUUGGCUGAGCCUUCACUGGUUCAAAUCCAGUUCGACCCA